rfam:Gorilla gorilla gorilla genomic chromosome, chr22, whole genome shotgun sequence
GUCUGAAGCCACACCACCCUGAAUGCACGUGGUCUCAUCUGACCUCGGAACUUUAGCAGGGUCGGGUCUGAGGAGCACUUGAAUGAGAGAACUGGGAAGGACCCCGCCCAUCUUCGCGUU